ACUAGCAGCGGCGAUGGGGCUCGCCAGGAAGCUCGACUUCUGAACCGCCAGCCGGCUGAUGGCACCUGCGAACAA
rnacentral:ncRNA from 19 species